rnacentral:rRNA from 1 species
CGAGUGCUUGCACUCAAUUGGAAAGAGGAGUGGCGGACGGGUGAGUAACACGUGGGUAACCUACCCAUCAGAGGGGGAUAACACUUGGAAACAGGUGCUAAUACCGCAUAACAGUUUAUGCCGCAUGGCAUAAGAGUGAAAGGCGCUUUCGGGUGUCGCUGAUGGAUGGACCCGCGGUGCAUUAGCUAGUUGGUGAGGUAACGGCUCACCAAGGCCACGAUGCAUAGCCGACCUGAGAGGGUGAUCGGCCACACUGGGACUGAGACACGGCCCAGACUCCUACGGGAGGCAGCAGUAGGGAAUCUUCGGCAAUGGACGAAAGUCUGACCGAGCAACGCCGCGUGAGUGAAGAAGGUUUUCGGAUCGUAAAACUCUGUUGUUAGAGAAGAACAAGGACGUUAGUAACUGAACGUCCCCUGACGGUAUCUAACCAGAAAGCCACGGCUAACUACGUGCCAGCAGCCGCGGUAAUACGUAGGUGGCAAGCGUUGUCCGGAUUUAUUGGGCGUAAAGCGAGCGCAGGCGGUUUCUUAAGUCUGAUGUGAAAGCCCCCGGCUCAACCGGGGAGGGUCAUUGGAAACUGGGAGACUUGAGUGCAGAAGAGGAGAGUGGAACUCCAUUGGUUA